rnacentral:lncRNA from 1 species
AGAACUGUUACAUAGACGUUUCUACAACUGACAAUUUCUGCCGACCCUUAGUAGAUCCACGACAGACUACACUUCCUUCUUCAUGAUCUUGAUGAAUACCUUCAAUGAUCCACGACCUGGCGACACUUCCUUCUCUGCGUAGAAUCCUGGCGCACGGCUAUAAUUGUACAUCGCUGGAGAUCUCCUGCACACUUGCCUCCAUUAAUCUGCAAAUUUGUUAAUAAAUCGCAAUAUCUGGGACUCGAACCCCAGACCUCUUAGUGUAGAAGCAUUAAUCAACCCUUGGUCAACCAAUGAGCCAAGGGAG